rnacentral:rRNA from 1 species
CCUACGGAGGCUGCAGUGGGGAAUAUUGGACAACGGGGGGAACCCUGAUCCAGCGACGCCGCGUGAGUGAAGAAGUAUUUCGGUAUGUAAAGCUCUAUCAGCAGGGAAGAAAGGAAUGACGGUACCUGACUAAGACGCCCCGGCUAACUACGUGCCAGCAGCCGCGGUAAUACGUAGGGGGCAAGCGUGAUCCGGAUUUACUGGGUGUAAAGGGAGCGUAGACGGUUACGCAAGUCUGGAGUGAAAGGCGGGGGCCCAACCCCCGGACUGCUUUGGAAACUGUAUAACUGGAGUGCAGGGGAGGUAAGUGGAAUUCCUAGUGUAGCGGUGAAAUGCGUAGAUAUUAGGAGGAACACCAGUGGCGAAGGCGGCUUACUGGACUGUAACUGACGUUGAGGCUCGAAAGCGUGGGGAGCAAACAGGAUUAGAUACCCGAGUAGUC